GUUUGGUUGACCCCUGUGACUACAGAGUGUUGGACUAGAUGGGCCAUAGCUAUGAUCCAGCAGGGUUUCCCUCCUGUUCUUAUGCUGCCUGUGGUAGCUGUCUAAUGGUUGGGCUGGCCCUUUGGAAGGAAUGGAUGGUUCCCUAAAAUUCCAUGCCAAGGAACUGUAAGGCAACCAUCUGAAAAUGUUCCACAGGGAACGGCCAAUUGAUGCAUGAUACAAAUAUAUGGGUGGCGUUGUGGUUUAAACCACUGUGCCGCUUGGACUUGACGAUCGGAAGGUUGGUGGUUCAUAUCCCCGCGACGGGGUGAGCUCCCGUUGCUCGGUCCCAGCUCCUGCCAACCUAGCAGUUCAGAAGCACACCGGUGCAAGUAGAUGAAUAGGUACCACUGCGACGGGAAGGUAAACAGCGUUUCCGUGUGCUGCUCUGGCUUCGUCACAUGACCCGGAAAAACUGUCUGUGGAAGCGGACAAACGUUGGCUCCCUCGGCCUGUAGAGCGAGAUGAGCACCUGGCUUAACUGUCAGGGUACCUUUACCUUUUACACAUAUACAGUGCUGAACCUGGAAGUGACCCAAAAAUGUCAUUAAAGUGCAGAAUGGGAGUGGAAUGGGAGGAGGCCGAAUGUUUUACGUGGGGCCCCCGAUACACACAGGGGUCCAGAACGUAACCCCCACACAAAACGAGGAAUGGCUAUUUCCCUUUUCAUUCAUUUCAGUUCCAAUUCCUCCUUCCCUUAUCAUUCAAGUACCUGAUUAAUGUCAGUAUUUUGCUUCCACUUAGACGGUGAGACUGGAUGAGUUCUAGGUGGGUGGCUGGUGUGCACAGAUUUAUUUAUUUUUUUAAAAUAGCCACCGCGAAUCACCUGUCAUCCUGGAGAGCCGGGGUUGAAAGGGGAAGCUAUUUACAUAAAUUAUUGGAGAGCAGUAAAUAUUAUUUCAUGAUAUCACAUCACGAUUAAGUUAAUGAAACUUGAUAUUAAGAGGCAGGAAGAUUUGCUCUUACUCAAAGACAAUUAAAGAAGGUGCUUGAGGGUAUGGCAGAGAGCCUACUUAGCAAUGUUCUUUCUUCCUAACACAGAGGGCUGAUGGACCUCUAGCAAAGGUCACUGCGAUUUUACAAUUUAUACAGAAGAUGCUAAUUUAACCAUGUUCAGUGUGUUUGCUCAGGUUUCCAACCACUCAUCCUCUGCCCCCGUCUCAUUCUUUCGUUUCGUAUUCCAGCUGUUCCAGCACAGGGCAAGCCAUUUUAGGAAAGAUGUCCUUAUGAGAGGGGUGGGGACAGGGCCGUCUUAAGCAUAUGCGUCGCUGGGGUGCAAAGAUCUGCCCGGCGCCCCCCUGUUUGCCCAGAGUUGUCGACCUUUUUUUUAGGGGGGGAACCCCGAAGUUGUUAACCACCUUUUAGGCCUGGCCAGCCGUCUCAGCUUCAACAGAGAAGCCUGAGGUGGUGGCAGCAACAACAGAGACAGAGCAAGGCCGGGGCUGGGCACCUGGGGGCAAGCAGAGCCCAGCACAACAACAGUCGAGCCCAAGGCGGUGGCGAUGGCAACUGAGCGAAGCCAAGCACCUUGUGUGAGCAGUGUGCGCUUGGCGGGCCUCUCUCAUGCGUGCAGGAGGGUGGAGCUGCCCCAGUGCCUCGCUCGCUCGCCCGCAGCAGAAGAGCUGUGGUGCUCCGAUGGUCACUGCUCCGCUUGGCAGUGGCUGUCGGUUCUUCCCAAUCCCCGGACUCCAAAUCUCGGCCAGGGACUCUCGGCCUGGUGUCCCUGAGAGCCCGGCGCCCGGGUGCCCCGCACCCCUAGCACCUAUGGGUAAGACGGCCCUGGGUGGGGAGCCUUAGAGACAGGGGCCAAAUGCAGCCACCUGGGGCUGUCUGACUGGCCUCCAGGAGCAACCCUGCUAUUCCUGGCUCCUGAUAAGGCCUCUUCAUUUCAGGGACAUGGGUUCAACCCCCACUUUGGGCAAAAGAUUCUUGCAUUGCAGGGGGUUGGACUAGAUCAGGGGGUUCCCAAACCUGGGCCUCCAGCCGUUGUUGGACUACAAUUCCCAUCAUCCCUGACGCCUGGUCCAGCUAGCAAGGGAUGAUGGGAGUUGUAGUCCAAAAACAGCUGGAGGACCCAAUUUGAGAAACUCUGGACUAGAUCCUCGUGGUCCCUUCCAACUUUGCAAUUCUAUGAUUCUAAGUGAUGGGUGCUCACCUUCACUGUUUCAACCACCUAGCAUUGCCCCCCCUCUGGAACCCAAUCUUUGGGUUGCAACCUGGCAAACUUCUGCAUCCAUGCAAUUGCUACUUAUUCAGAUUUUUGCAUACUAAUGUGCAAAAGCUUUGCCCCAUCUCCCUUGCCCGUACAGGCUCCACAUCUCCAUUUUGGACGAUUACAUCAUGAAAUACCGUUAUAGAUUUAAUCAGUGCUGCUGAGAUGGCUACCAGGGUGAUUGCUGACUACCUCCAGUUCCACAGUGAAAUCGUCUGCCAUGGCUGCAUUCACAGGGCGGUUCAUUCCAUUUCCCCAAUUAUUUCCGUAGCUGUUAAUUUCUGCAUUCUGUUCGGGUUUCCAUACCACGUGAAAGCCACUUUGGGAAUCGGCUUGCAAACCCCUUAACCCAGAAAAUCUUGGCUGCAAAGGGACAAUUUGAGGGGUGGGUGUUUAUAACCUUCACACUGCUCUUCUCUGCUGUUCUCAUGGGAACAGAUGAAGGAACAGAAUCAUGCAUGUGCGGACGGGGGUGGGAGUAGGGACACUGCCCAGUGCCAUUCAGUGUUGUGUGACACCAUGCCCACUUAUGUGAGUGGAAUUGAGCGUGGCAUGUCACUCCUAUUGGUCAAAAAGCCACCGUUCUGUAAGGCCACAUGUCCUGUAGCAUGUAAGGAGCACUGGAGACCAUUGGGCAGAAGCCCCAGCAUUAUAGCCAGGAAAGCUAAGAUGAUAUUCUUCAUAUCUGGAUGGUGUUGGUGCGAGGUGAGGAUGUUUAUAACAAGAGUAAUAAAAAGAAAUUGUUAUUUAGGGGAAUUGAAUUUAAUUCUAAAUUAUAUUCCAGAAAUGUGGGAGAUUUCAAGGGGUCAAAAAAAAUGGAUGUACCAUGCGAUAUUAGAAGCAAAAAACCCCUUGUUUUGAUGAACUGGAAGAGCCGCAAAAAGACUCCAUUGAGCACAUGGAUUGAUAAUAUGGAUAGAUUAGCUACAUACGAGUGAAUUGCAUGUCGGCGCAAAUUAAGAAUGGAUAAAUAUGAAGAAAUCUGGAAUGCAUAUUUAAGCGAUAAGGCGGAUAAUGGUGGGAGGUGGGGGGAGGAGAGAGAGGUGGGAAAAUAUUGUUUAAAAGGUGUAGUCAUAGGUAUAUCAGUGUAUUCAGAUCUGAAUUGUCAAAUUGUGUUAUUAUUGUUAUUAUGGUUAUUGUUGUAUGUGUCUUUUGCUGUUAUUGUUUGUAUUGAAGAAAUGA
rnacentral:lncRNA from 1 species